CGUCGGGUAGCUCAGGGGUAGAGCACAGUCCUGAUAAGACUGGGGUCGGAUGUUCAAAUCAUCCCCUGACGACCA
rnacentral:tRNA from 1 species